CGCCUACAAGACGGAAGGACCUGGAAGUAUGCGAUGAAGAAGCCAGGCAGAAGCAAUGGAUGCAGGUGGUGGCACGGAGCUCCGGUCACCUCACUCUGCUCCUGACAUGGCUGUUCACUCUCACCAAGGAACAAGCCAGUCAGGAAACCGCACAGCAGCCAUGGCUUUUAAAGAUACUGGAAAAACACCCAAGAAGCCAGAGGUAGCCAUUCACCGAUUUAGAAUCACUUUAACCAGCCGCAGCAUAAAGUCCUUGGAGAAAGUGUGUGCUGACUGGUUCGGAGGUGCCGAGGACAAGAAUCUCAAGGUGAAAGGCCCAGUUCGGAAGCCUGCCCAGAGUCUGAGAAUCACUACAAGAAAAACACCUUGUGGGGAAGGCUUUAGGGCUUGGGAUGGUUUCCAGAUGAGAAUCCACAAGCGACUCAUUGAUUUGCACACUCCUUCUGAGACUGUUGGACAGACUACUUCCAUCAGUAUUGAGCCGGGAGUUGAGGUUCAAGUCACCAUUGCAGAUGCCUAAGUCAACUAUUUUAAUAAAUUGAUUAUCAUCUCUUAAAAA